UUCAGAGUUUGAUCCUAGCUCAGGAUGAAUGCUAGCGGCGUGGAUAAGGCAUGCAAGUCAUGGGAUGCUGAAGUCGCAAGACCGAAGUAAACCGGCAGACGAGGUAGUAAUACGCAGGUACGCACCGAAGAGUCGGGCAUAGCCAGCCGAAAGGUUGGGUAAUUCCCGAUAGUCCCUGAGACGCAAGUCGAAGGGUAAAGCGGCAACGCGCUCUUUGAGCGGCCUGCGGGGCAUCAGCUAGACGGUAGGGUAACGGCCUACCGUGGCUACGACGCCUAGGGGAGCUGAGAGGCUGACCCCCACCGAUGGGACUGAGACACGGCCCAUACACCUACGGGUGGCUGCAGUCGAGAAUAUUUGGCAAUGGGCGAAAGCCUGACCAUGCGACGCCGCGUGCUGGACGAAGUCCUUCGGGACGUAAACAGCUUUUAUGCGUGAGGAAGUAAUUGACGUUAGCGCAUGAAUAAGGGGCUCCUAACUCUGUGCCAGCAGGAGCGGUAAUACAGAGGCCCCGAGCAUUAUCCGGAAUCACUGGGCGUAAAGGGUGUGUAGGCGGCCAUGUUAGUCCGUUCGUAAAAGCCCGCGGGCUCAACCCGUGGAAUGCGGCGGAAACGGCACGGCUUUAAGAGGACGCGAGAGGCAAAGGGAACUCAUGGUGUAGGGGUGAAAUCCGUUGAUAUCAUGGGGAACACCAAAUGCGAAGGCACUUUGCUGGCGCGCUCCUGACGCUGAAACACGAAAGCUACGGGAGAGAACGGGAUUAGAUACCCCGGUAUUCGUAGCCCUAAACGAUCACGACUGGCUUUGCGGAGUAUCGACCCUCUGCGAGGCGAAGCUAACGCGUUAAGUCGUGCGCCUGGGUAGUACGAUCGCAAGAUUAAAACUCAAAGGAAUAGACGGGGACUUGCACAAGCGGUGGAUCAUGCGGCUCAAUUCGAUGACAAACGAAGAACCUCACCAGGGUUUGAAACCAAGACGAAAACUUUGGGAAACCAGAGUCCCCGAAAGGCGGCUUGGCAGGUGAUGCAUGGUCGUCGUCAGUUCGUGGUUUGAACUGUUCCCUUCUGGGGUAACGAACGCAACCCCUGUUGCCUGUUUUAAAUGUCAGGCGAGACUGCCCCCUCACGGGGGAGGAAGGUGGGGAUGACGCCAGAUCAGCAUGUCUCGGAUUGAGGGCUGCAACUCGCCCUCAUGAAGCCGGAAUCGCUAGUAAUCGCGGGUCAGCUAUACCGCGGUGAAUACGUUCUCAAGUCUUGUACUCACAAUAAACGCGCACAGCAGCGCGCACUUCUAUGCGGUUAAAAUCCGUACCCUCGAUUUCGUCGUCGAGGCGUAGCAAAAGGGCAAGCAUAUAUCCGUGAGGGUAGUGCCGGAGGGCCCGGACGCAAAAAGCAGCCUCUGCAAACUAAAGGGCGUUCGACCUACCAGUGGGCGGUGAGGGUAGGGAAGAACUAAGAAAAUCCCGCAGUGGAUGUUUGGAACAGAAGUGCUCGUAACCUGUGGAGAUCUGACGCUGUUACCCCGAAAAUCGGGGUAUAAUGAAUCUGACGCAGCGUCAGAAGUCAGCUGGGUCAUAGUAUUCGAAAGAAAAAGGACCCACUCAAUGAAAAAUCUUAGUCCAGAAUAUGUGGUUGGUUUGGUAGAUGGUGAAGGCAGCUUUACCGUCUAUGUCCGAAAUCCGGAUGUAAAGAGCUUUGUCAUUCGGCGAGUAAUGGUAGAACCGAAAUUCUACGUAAAACUCAUCGAGCGCGAUAAAGAAAUUCUCUUUGCAUUGCAGCGGUUUUUCGGAUGCGGGAGCGUGUACUUUCAAAAAGAUACGCGGUCUAAUCACCAAAACUGCUAUCGAUAUGAAGUCUUCCGGUGGGAGAACCUUCAAACUAAAAUCAUUCCGUUCUUCAAGCAAAACAAAUUGAAGUUUGCUUCUAAACAGCACGACUUUGAAAUAUUUUGCGUGAUGAUGGAAAUAUUAUCCAAAAAAGAGCAUCUUACGGAUAAAGGACUUAGACAGUUGUUUAAAUUAAAAAGACAAAUGCAUUGAGCUCGCGCAGUGCGGGAAAUCCGCUUGCUGCGUGGGAACAUCAAUUCUUAAGAUUCUAAGGAGAUAAUCGCCCGUCAAGUCAGGGAAGUCGGGAGUGCCUGAAAGUCAUCUUCGGAUGAACCACGGUAAACUCGAUGACAAGGACUAAGUCGUAACAAGGCACGGGUAGCGGAAGCUGCUCGUGGAACAAUU
rnacentral:rRNA from 1 species